UUAUGGCCAUAUCACGUCGUAACACCGUCUCUCGGACAAUCACCGAACUUAAGCAACGUCGAGCCUGGUCAGUACCUAGUUGGGUGACCGCUUAGGAAUACCAGGUGCUGUAAG